CGUCCUACGGGACGCAGCAGUGAGGAAUAUUGGUCAAUGGGCGGGAGCCUGAACCAGCCAAGUCGCGUGAGGGAAGACGGUCCUAUGGAUUGUAAACCUCUUUUGUCGGGGAGCAAAGAGGCCACGUGUGGUCAAAAGCGAGAGUACCCGAAGAAAAAGCAUCGGCUAACUCCGUGCCAGCAGCCGCGGUAAUACGGAGGAUGCGAGCGUUAUCCGGAUUUAUUGGGUUUAAAGGGUGCGUAGGCGGGACGGUAAGGCAGCGGUAAAAAUGCGGAGGUCAACUCCGGAGAGCAGUUGAAACUGCC
rnacentral:rRNA from 1 species